UCCCUCCUUCACUCCCCCUGCCCAGAAAAUGUCUGUCUUGGGGAAAGAGUAUAUUUCUAAGGAUAUUCCAAACCAUUUGAGAACUGUGGCAUUUUCCUUUGAAGUCCGAAUGAAGUCACAGUGGAUCCUUGCGCUGGAGCUUCAAGCUGGCUGCCAGAGCAGUCCCAGCUUUCACCUGGAGGACCUGCCCAGGAUAGAGUCUACUGGGCAGCGAGGACGCAGCCACUGCCUGCUCCCAG